GUGGGCGGGACGGGCGGCCUAGGGGCUUCGCCGCCAGGUGGCAGGCGUGCGCCACGCCCGCAGGUUCCAACCCCGACCCGGGCGCGCGGGGCCGACUAGGGUCGGGUCCGGUGUGCGGUGGUCGCUCCGCUCCGGGCCGCUCCUCUCUGGGCGCCAGGGCGCGGGGAGCUGCCCUGGGGUUCUGUCCACCGGGGAGGAAAGCCACGGGCACUGAGCGCCUCCUGAGAGCCAGCCCUGACGUGAACUCAUUUUAUCUGCCACGACCCAGAAGGCACGGUAUGAGCAGGGCUAAGUGGAAAAACUGUAUCUAUCUUGCAUGUUAAAGAAGUCCAGAAGACUGACCUCUGGGGAAAGACUGCUGCUUUCUGCUGGGAUUACCACAUCUGUGAGGCUUGGAAUGAUCAGUAGCCAUCCUUUGUGCCAUGCUGGGACUGACAUAACAGAGAGAGGGCAAAGCAGAGCCGGGAAGUGGAUAGAAGAUACUGUGUGAGAAGCUAGCAUACCCUUGGCUGUCCUAGCUUAUGAGUCUACUGCUAAGAUUUCAGCAUGUCCUGUGGCUGAGUUAAUCAGAGUUAUAACAGGAAGGUACCGGGCACACCAUCGCAAUGCUCCAUCAAUGCUAGUAUGUUGUGUUCUUUCCUUCAUAUCAAGUCAACUCAAGCUUGCUCUACUUACCUGGUGUACACAGUCUAAGAACUGUAAGAAGACUGGAGCAAAACCACUCCCCUGACAGUUGAGGGUCAAGCUGCUCCGCUGACUGAAUUUGUGACCAAAAGAGAGCCACUCUUUUUCAACCAACAUCCGGAAGCCUUCAAGUGUCCUAUAAAAGGGAUCACUGAGUAACUGAACCAGGGAUGUCACCUAGGGCAUAAGCAGGAUGGACUGUCAUUAAUUUUAGUUCUGAAAAAGUCCUAUUACUAAGAUAAAAGCACUUCCUUCUGAUGAUAGCUAAUUCACAAAUUUACCUGGACAGCAAAUUUGUUCACUAACCAUUCCAGGAUGGCCAAUAAAAUUAAUUCUGUAAACUUGCCAGUAAAAACUAAAGCUCAAAUUCAUUUUGGCUACAAGUUUACUUUCAGGGAAUUAAGACUUUAAUCCUUAAAUGGCCAGUUUGCUGACAGCAACCGUUUCCUAAGUUAAUCAGAGGCCAGAGGAUCAGUUAAAAUCAAUUCUACUUUUUGGCAGAUGCAGAUUAAUGUCUUAAUGUAGUCUGAACUCACACUUUUCACUCUGGAGUGAGUUAAGGCGGGGCUUAUAGAGAGCCAGGGGAUGGACUGACAAAACCCAGGAAGGAUGGUCCACGCCUCACACUGCUGGUCAAAGGCUCCAUCCGCAAGCCUGCAUGGUACAUCUGUGGAUGGGAGAGCUUGAUGCCUGGAGCCAGAGCUCCAGGCUGCAUAGGGGCUAAGAGCUCAUGGUACGGAGUUUUCUGAUGGAUACCAGGUGGUGUUUAACACACGACUUUCUCUGUCCAUAAACACAUUAGUCAUUAUACAAAAGAGUCAUCUGAAGAAUUUAAAAACAACCAAAUGGAAAUAUAAAUAUAAAAUGAAAUAUUAAAAAAUAUGUCU